rnacentral:rRNA from 1 species
UACGUAGGAGGCAAGCGUUGUCCGGAUUUACUGGGCGUAAAGCGCGCGCAGGCGGCAGUGUAAGUAAGGUGUGAAAUCUCCCUGCUCAACGGGGGAGGGUGCAUUUUAGACUGCACAGCUAGAGGUCGGUAGAGGGGGGUGGAAUUGCUGGUGUAGCGGUGAAAUGCGUAGAGAUCAGCAGGAACACCCGUGGCGAAGGCGGCCCCCUGGGCCGUACCUGACGCUGAGGCGCGAAGGCUAGGGGAGCGAACGGG